rnacentral:rRNA from 1 species
CCUACGGGCGGCUGCAGUGAGGAAUAUUGGUCAAUGGACGUAACUCUGAACCAGCCAAGUAGCGUGCAGGAUGACUGCCCUAUGGGUUGUAAACCGCUUUUAUGCGGGGAUAAAGUUAUCCACGUGUGGAUUUUUGCAGGUACCGCAUGAAUAAGGACCGGCUAAUUCCGUGCCAGCAGCCGCGGUAAUACGGAAGGUCCGGGCGUUAUCCGGAUUUAUUGGGUUUAAAGGGAGCGCAGGCCGGUCAUUAAGCGUGCCGUGAAAUUCUGUGGCUCAACCAUGGCAGUGCGGCGCGAACUGGAGACCUUGAGUGCGCCGAAGGCAGGCGGAAUUCGUGGUGUAGCGGUGAAAUGCUUAGAUAUCACGAAGAACCCCGAUUGCGAAGGCAGCCUGCCGUAGCGUUACUGACGCUGAAGCUCGAAAGUGCGGGUAUCGAACAGGAUUAGAUACCCGGGUAGUC